CCAACGGCCCUCUUUAGGGCCACAAAUGUUAUCAAAUCCUCUAUC
rfam:Caenorhabditis tropicalis strain JT1373 unplaced genomic scaffold Scaffold629, whole genome shotgun sequence.